AUGAGCAUGCAUAUUGUGGAUCAUACUUCAUCUGUUGCUUGCUCCAUGACACUUUGCACACAUGCUAGCGAUCUUGCUUCGACUUAUCAUUACCACAUUGCCAUGCGCCAUGACAUGUAUGACUUGUGUGUUGCAUCUAGUUCUCAAAAUAUGCCAUGUCCCUUUGCUUAUCACAUGCUUGACUUGAUUGCCUCACACAUGUUGAACAAUUGCUCUUUCCACUAUGUUGAGUGCCACGAUAUCUUCACUACACCCUAUGCACAUUAUGCUUGGAUUGUCUUGAACUUGCCCCAUGUGUUUAGACAUAUCAUUAUAUUUGGUGUUGUGGAUGAUACUUAUGCAUACCAUAGACCUUUUGUUGAGCACUUUGUGCAUUCUUGCUAUGACAUUGAGGUAGAUGCUUGUUCACCUCUCAAACAUAUUCGCAUCUCUACCUACCAUUUGCAUGCUUGUUCCCAUGAUGUACGUGAUUGUGCUCAAUUUAUAUGCUUAAAUGCCAUGCCACACUUCUUUGUCAAACCAUAUGCUAUGCUUGAUGACAACACUUGUUGGGUGAAUCACCUCUUGAAUGCUUGGUUUUGGUCUUACGCCGACCACAUUUGUUUUUCCAAGUGCUUGUUAUCUUUGCUCCUUUUGAAGGAAUUACAAGACGGUGCGACAUAA
rnacentral:rRNA from 1 species